rnacentral:pre_miRNA from 1 species
UUUAUGCGGCAGCAUAGGAUUGAAUUGUGGGAGAACUUAUAUGAUUCUAGCCCUUUUCAUUUUUAUGC